GAAGGCCAAGAAACUCCGUUCUAUUUACGAAAAGCUUUCCUGCGAGGGGUUCUCCAAUAAUCAAAUUGAACUUGCGUUAUCCGCUCUCAAGGAGAGAGCCACGUUUGAAGCUGCUUUAGAUUGGCUAUGCUUGAAUUUGCGAGGAAAUGAGCUUCCUCUGAAGUUUUCAAGUGGUACUUCCCAAUCGAACGAAGGUUCUGUUGGUAUCAUAUCAACUGCUCGACAAGAUUGGGUUCCUUCAGCAGAUUCAUCUGUUGCAGAAGUUAAAGAGGAGAAAAUACCUACAGUUUCAGUUGUGCCAAAGGGUCGAAGUGAUAGUGAAUUUCUACGCACAGUUGAACGCGCACAAGCUGAUUGGAUCCGUCAGUAUAUGGAACAACAGGAAGAGGAU
rnacentral:misc_RNA from 1 species